GAUACCCCAGGUCAGGGGGGGCUACCCGUCCAGUUUAAGCAUAUC
rnacentral:rRNA from 1 species